AGUGAACGCUGGCGGUAGGCCUAACACAUGCAAGUCGAACGGCAGCACAGUAAGAGCUUGCUCUUACGAGUGGCGAGUGGCGGACGGGUGAGGAAUACAUCGGAAUCUACUUUUUCGUGGGGGAUAACGUAGGGAAACUUACGCUAAUACCGCAUACGACCUACGGGUGAAAGCAGGGGAUCUUCGGACCUUGCGCGAUUGAAUGAGCCGAUGUCGGAUUAGCUAGUUGGCGGGGUAAAGGCCCACCAAGGCGACGAUCCGUAGCUGGUCUGAGAGGACGAUCAGCCACACUGGAACUGAGACACGGUCCAGACUCCUACGGGAGGCAGCAGUGGGGAAUAUUGGACAAUGGGCGCAAGCCUGAUCCAGCCAUACCGCGUGGGUGAAGAAGGCCUUCGGGUUGUAAAGCCCUUUUGUUGGGAAAGAAAAGCAGCAGGUUAAUACCCCGCUGUUCUGACGGUACCCAAAGAAUAAGCACCGGCUAACUUCGUG
rnacentral:rRNA from 1 species